UCCCCCAAGAGUUCACAUCGACGGGGAGGUUUGGCACCUCGAUGUCGGCUCAUCGCAUCCUGGGGCUGUAGUCGGUCCCAAGGGUUGGGCUGUUCGCCCAUUAAAGCGGUACGCGAGCUGGGUUCAGAACGUCGUGAGACAGUUCGGUCCCUAUCCGUCGUGGGCGUAGGAAAUUUGAGAGGAGCUGUCCUUAGUACGAGAGGACCGGGAUGGACAUACCUCUGGUGUACCAGUUGUCGUGCCAACGGCAUAGCUGGGUAGCUAUGUGUGGACGGGAUAAGUGCUGAAAGCAUCUAAGCAUGAAGCCCCCCUCAAGAUGAGAUUUCCCAACUUCGGUUAUAAGAUCCCUCAAAGAUGAUGAGGUUAAUAGGUUCGAGGUGGAAGCAUGGUGACAUGUGGAGCUGACGAAUACUAAUCGAUCGAAGACUUAAUCAA
rnacentral:rRNA from 1 species